rnacentral:rRNA from 1 species
GAUGAACGCUGGCGGCGUGCCUAAUACAUGCAAGUCGAGCGAACAGACGAGGAGCUUGCUCCUCUGACGUUAGCGGCGGACGGGUGAGUAACACGUGGAUAACCUACCUAUAAGACUGGGAUAACUUCGGGAAACCGGAGCUAAUACCGGAUAAUAUAUUGAACCGCAUGGUUCAAUAGUGAAAGACGGUUUUGCUGUCACUUAUAGAUGGAUCCGCGCCGGAUUAGCUAGUUGGUAAGGUAACGGCUUACCAAGGCGACGAUGCGUAGCCGACCGGAGAGAGUGGUCGGCGGCACGGGAACGGAACCGCGGUCCAGACUCCUACGGGAGGGACCAGUAGGGAAUCUUCCGCAAUGGGCGAGAGCCUGACGGAGCAACGCCGCGUGAGUGAUGAAGGUCUUCGGAUCGUAAAACUCUGUUAUUAGGGAAGAACAAAUGUGUAAGUAACUAUGCACGUCUUGACGGUACCUAAUCAGAAAGCCACGGCUAACUACGUG